AUGAACGCUGGCGGCGUGCUUAACACAUGCAAGUCGAACGAAGCACCUCUAAUCGAAGAUUGAGAAAGCUUGCUUUGAUUGAUUCACCUUGAGGUGACUGAGUGGCGGACGGGUGAGUAACGCGUGGGUAACCUACCCUAUACAGGGGGAUAACAGUUGGAAACGACUGCUAAUACCGCAUAAGCGCACAGGACCGCAUGGUCUAGUGUGAAAAACUCCGGUGGUAUAGGAUGGACCCGCGUCUGAUUAGCUAGUUGGUGAGGUAACGGCUCACCAAGGCGACGAUCAGUAGCCGACCUGAGAGGGUGACCGGCCACAUUGGGACUGAGACACGGCCCAAACUCCUACGGGAGGCAGCAGUGGGGAAUAUUGCACAAUGGGCGAAAGCCUGAUGCAGCGACGCCGCGUGAACGAAGAAGUAUUUCGGUAUGUAAAGUUCUAUCAGCAGGGAAGAAAAAUGACGGUACCUGACUAAGAAGCUCCGGCUAAAUACGUGCCAGCAGCGGC
rnacentral:rRNA from 1 species